UGGCAACUGGGUAGACAUAGAAUUUUCUUCUGUUCCAAAAGUCGCGAUUUCUUUCUUUCUCAUUUCUCAGUUCUUACUAGACACUAGUAUUUCAGACUGUGCAAUUACUCCCUUGAUUCAUCGAGGAAAUAAUGUGUUGACGUGGUUGUUGCAAAUUUCAAAUGUAUCCAAUGAGCAGUCUUCAAGGUGACGUGUCCACAGGUGUAGGCUGAGGAUAGGCUUUUUCUCCUUAAAGUGUCGUGAUUGUGUAGCCUACUGCUUUGCCCUGUGUAUCCACCAGUGUAAAAAACUUGUGGUUUUGAUUGGAAAUAUCCUGUGAUUGUACCCUGGUUGCAGUCCUCAUUGCAGUAUGCUUGUCAUUUAGGUCAUCUGAUGUUGAGGAAGAUAAAUUUGCAUAUCUGAAAUGGGU